rnacentral:lncRNA from 1 species
GUGACAUCCCUCAAAUCCGGGGGUCUAGAUCUGGUGCCACGUGUAAAUAAAAAUAAUUUAAAACCUGUAGUUUUGAGCCAUUAAAAGAAAAACAAUUUAAAACCUGUAUUUUUGGAAGAAAGUAAAAACAAGUAUUUCUAAACCUGGAUAUUAUUUUUUUUUAAAACAAGGUCUUUAAUUCAAAAUCAAUUUCACCCCCUGAAAACAGGAUCGCAUACAGGCUACAGCAUUGAAAUCAGAAACUAAAACUAUAAAAUCUUAUUUACAAAUUAAACAACAUUAUCAGCUAAACCUCGAUAAGAAGAGUAGCUGAUAACCAAAUAAACAAAUCUAAUUUCCAACUGAAUUGAAUUGCAGAACUCCAACUGCAUCUAGUCUUAAUGACAUCGUCCUAAAUACUCUACCUGUCCAUCUGCUUGAAACUCAACCACUUGCAAUCCUUGCCUAGUCUUAAGUGAAUCAUCUUUAUUCCUAGCUGAAAAGGGUUAGAAGGAAUAGCAAGAAUGAGCAAUAAUGCUCAGCAAGAAUAACAAAAUGAAAUUGAUAUUUGUUGUACAGCAAUGCCAUAAUAAAGAAGUGAAAAUAUUUAAAACUGCAGAAAUGAAUGUAUAAGCAAAUAUCUCUUGAAGGCAGGAUAACUUCUUUUUAAACUAUUCACAAUUUUAUUGGGCUUUAAAAAUAAUUGGACACCUGGCUAUAACAGAUGAUCAGUCAUGCUAUAGUCCAUAAACCAAGCUUAUUCAGCAAGGUUGACAAAUAUUACGAAUUCCGGUAAUCCGGGCUUAAGGAGCCACCUUUCACGCUGGGCCGGUGCCCGAGCCUCUUACGCAAAAACA